rnacentral:rRNA from 1 species
AGAGUUUGAUCCUGGCUCAGGAUGAACGCUAGCGGCAGGCCUAAUACAUGCAAGUCGAACGGUUCCUAGCAAUAGGAAUAGUGGCGCACGGGUGCGUAACGCGUAACCAACCUACCCGAAUCUGGGGGAUAGCCCGCCGAAAGGCGGAUUAAUACCGCAUAAAACCACAGAGUGGCAUCGCUUAAUGGUUAAAGAUUUAUUGGAUUCGGAUGGGGUUGCGUGCCAUUAGCUAGUUGGGGGGGUAACGGCCCACCAAGGCGACGAUGGCUAGGGGAGCUGAGAGGCUGGUCCCCCACACGGGCACUGAGAUACGGGCCCGACUCCUACGGGAGGCAGCAGUAGGGAAUAUUGGGCAAUGGCCGAGAGGCUGACCCAGCCAUGCCGCGUGCAGGACGAAGGCUUUCUGAGUCGUAAACUGCUUUUAUCGGGGAAGAAAAAAGGGCAUGCGUGCUCUACUGACGGUACCCGAUGAAUAAGCACCGGCUAACUCCGUGCCAGCAGCCGCGGUAAUACGGAGGGUGCAAGCGUUGUCCGGAUUUAUUGGGUUUAAAGGGUGCGUAGGCGGCUUUUUAAGUCUGGGGUGAAAGCCCGUUGCUCAACAACGGAACUGCCCUGGAAACUGGAGAGCUUGAGUACAGACGAGGGUGGCGGAAUGGAUGCUGUAGCGGUGAAAUGCAUAGAUAGCAUCCAGAACCCCGAUUGCGAAGGCAGCUGCCUAGACUGUAACUGACGCUGAGGCACGAAAGCGUGGGGAGCGAACAGGAUUAGAUACCCUGGUAGUCCACGCCGUAAACGAUGGAUACUCGCUGGUGGCGACAGACGGUCACUGGCUUAGCGAAAGCGUUAAGUAUCCCACCUGGGGAGUACGCUCGCAAGAGUGAAACUCAAAAGAAUUGACGGGGGCCCGCACAAGUGGUGGAGCAUGUGGUUUAAUUCGAUGAUACGCGAGGAACCUUACCUAGGCUAGAAUGCGCGUGACCGGCUCAGAGAUGAGCCUUUCCUUCGGGACACAAAGCAAGGUGCUGCAUGGCCGUCGUCAGCUCGUGCCGUGAGGUGUUGGGUUAAGUCCCGCAACGAGCGCAACCC